UGCUCUUCCCCUAAUGUUAAAAAUUAUGUACCAAAUUGCAUAUAAUUGAGUAAGCUGUAGAAUAUAUGAAAUAUGGUCCAGAGACUACUCUCUGGAGGAGGAUCGAUUCUUUCCACAAUCAAGGCUGGCUGCAUUAACAGAUUUUCAGCCUACCCACUUAUUUACCUCAAUAUCAGAAUGGCGUCAUCUUCCACUGGGAUGGAUCUGACAGAGUUCUCUAAAGUUCUUUCAAAGGCAUCGAAAAUUACUGUUCUAACAGGAGCAGGCAUAUCGGCAGAAUCUGGUAUUCCAACUUUUCGAGGAGCAGGUGGACUAUGGCGAACAUGGAGUGCAAUGGAAUUGGCCACACCUGAGGCAUUUGCGGCUGAUCCCUCACUUGUUUGGGAGUUCUAUCAUUAUAGAAGGUGUGUUGUUGCCAAUGCUGCACCGAAUAGGGGUCAUUAUGCUCUAUCUAUAUUGCAAAAGAGAUGUGAGAAUGAAGGCAAGAAUUUCACUCUCAUAACCCAGAAUAUUGAUGAGCUGCAUUGGAAAGCUGGAAGUAAGGAUAUUGUAGAACUUCAUGGAUCCCUUUGGAAGACACGGUGCUGCAGAUGCAAUGAUGUAGAAGAGAAUUAUGAGAACCCCAUAUGUCCAGCCCUUGAUGGCAAGGGUGCUCCAAACUCAGAUGCAAGGGAUGCUCAGAUUCCUGUAUCAGAGCUUCCACACUGCAAGAAGUGUAAUGCACUGUUGAGACCACAUGUAGUUUGGUUUGGUGAAUGCUUGGAUCACGCUGUUCUAGAUAAAGCAGAAAAUGCAUUAAUUAAUUGUGAUCUUUUUCUUGUGGUGGGCACAUCUGCAGUUGUACAGCCUGCUGCAGGUUUUGCACCUAUUGUGCAAGGAGGGGGAGGUGUUGUUGCAGAAUUCAAUUUAGAGGACACUCCCAUAACUAGAGCUUGCAGAUUCAAGUUCCUUGGUUCAUCGGCAGAAACUCUCCCUCAAGCUUUGGGGAUAUCACCUGAAGAGUUGCCUCCAACAUAAAUGAAGAAAGUAAUUCACGUGGAUUGUCUAGAUUGGACCCAACAGGGGCCUGAUCAAUUUAAGAAUGUUCCUGCAGUGGCACUGGUUUGGUCCCUUCCAUUUGAGAAGGUGUUCAUGUUCGAUGAGUACAAACACCCUGGUCACAUAGAGAUACACAACCUAUUUGGACUACAGAAUGGAGUGCUCAUGUUGGGUUCAUGGUUUUAGCCCAUGGUUACAUGAAAGCACAAGAAGAUAAGCAACUAGACUCUUUGCAAGUUGUAGAGCUUAUAUGUUUCAUAUGGUUUAAGCUCCUGGACAACUCUCCUUUUCCUUUCUUGGGUUGUAGUGAUCUCUUAUUUUCAGCUAUUAGGUUUUGUAGAUCUGUGGUAUUUCCAUUGUUCAAAGACAUGUAUAAUGUGAAUGUUUGGAUGUUUAAAUGGAUUCCAGAUUUAAAGAGAUGGUUUUGCAGGUUUUACAUGUUAACUAAAAUUUAUGGUAUGUAGAUCUAUGGUUGGAUGGAGAUAAUAAUAGUCUUGCAUGGCUGCUUGGAA